UACGAAGGGUGCAAGCGUUACUCGGAAUUACUGGGCGUAAAGCGUGCGUAGGUGGUGAGUUAAGUCUGUCGUGAAAGCCCCGGGCUCAACCUGGGAAUUGCAUUCGAGACUGCAUUGCUGGAGUACGGAAGAGGAAGGCGGAAUUCCCGGUGUAGCGGAUGAAUGCGUAGAUAUCGGGAGGAACAUCAGUGGCGAAGGCCGGCCUU
rnacentral:rRNA from 1 species